UACGGAGGGUGCAAGCGUUGUCCGGAAUCACUGGGCGUAAAGGGCGCGUAGGCGGCUCAUGAAGGCUGUGGUGAAAGUCCGGGGCUCAACCUCGGAUCGGCCGUGGCGACUCGUGGGCUGGAGCACUGUAGAGGCGGGUGGAAUUCCGGGUGUAGCGGUGGAAUGCGUAGAGAUCCGGAAGAACACCAGUGGCGAAGGCGGCCCGCUGGGCAGUGGCUGACGCUGAGGCGCGACAGCGUGGGUAGCAAACAGG
rnacentral:rRNA from 1 species